GUCUACGGCCAUACCACCCUGAACGCGUCCGAUCUCGUCUGAUCUUGGAAGCUAAGCAGGGUCGGGCCUGGUUAGUACUUGGAUGGGAAAGAGUGAGCUAGUGAGUGCUUUGGGGA
rnacentral:rRNA from 1 species